GACGAACCGUGCGAACGUUGUUCGGAAUCACUGGGCUUAAAGGGCGCGUAGGCGGGCUGCCAAGUCAGGGGUGAAAUCUUUCGGCUCAACCGGAAAAGAGCCUUUGAUACUGGCGGUCUCGAGUGGGGUAGGGGCACGCGGAACUUCCGGUGGAGCGGUGAAAUGCGUAGAUAUCGUCUGGAACGCCGAAGGUGAAAACAGCUCGCUGGGAUUGUGCUGACGCUGAGACACGAAAGCCAGGGGAGCGAACGGG
rnacentral:rRNA from 1 species